rnacentral:misc_RNA from 1 species
AAAAGUCGUAACAAGGUCUCCGUAGGUGAACCUGCGGAGGGAUCAUUACAAGUACACUACCGGCCUAACCCGCCGGCUAUGUAUAACCCUUUGUUGUCCGACUCUGUUGCCUCCGGGGCGACCCUGCCUUCGGGCGGGGGCCCUGGACACUUCAAACUCUUGCGUAACUUUGCAGUCUGAGUAAAUUUAAUUAAUAAAUUAAAACUUUCAACAACGGAUCUCUUGGUUCUG